ACAUCCAUAUUCAACAAUAGGCGUAUGACAGACGAGGCCAAAACCUCUGGUCAGAUUACAUGUUUAUCGUUCGGUUCACCUAUGACCUCGUUUGUUUACCUUGCUCCCGAGAUGUGACGAGAGUGCUCCUCGAGCUCGUGCGAUCUAAAUGUGCACGAUGCAAGUAUUAAAUACUGUAAUAUUUAUCUUAAAAGUAUGACACAAUAGAAGUUUAUGAUUUAGAAUAAAAAACACACACAAGUAAAAAUGAAUCGUGUUAAUCUCUGGCAGUAAAAUAUUUAUCCCAUGAUGCAACACACACGAGUUUAGCGGGAAGUCUGAUAGCCAUGUUUGAAUUCACCGGAUGUUUAUUUCCAGAAGAAAAGUAUAAACAAACACGACGAUAGCCUAAAAACGAAGUUUGUUUCCCGUCUUACUGAAGAAGAUCGACUUACUUCAAGUUACCGACGAAUGAAUAUCAGCUUUCUCGUUGUUUUUGACGACCGAUGCAUAUUUUUACCGACAAACAUCGUUACGAGACAGGGGUUUUGAUGAUUAAUUUAUCACAGAUUACACGGCCGAAGGAAACGCAGUACCGAUCCAUGUGUUACAAUCAGACUGAGUCUUCAUGCAGUACAUUCUGGAAUGAGGAACACCGCAUGCAUUGUGGUCCAAAUUGAUGGCAUUGACUUAACACAAAGCAGAAAGGAAUGAAGAAAAAUUAAGAAGUUUAUGUUUCACAUUAAUUAAGAUUAUUCGAGAUAUGUUAUCUGUCGAGUUCACGGACACACAUGAAAACAGUUUCCAGUACAUCUGGGCUACUUCGAGGAAACUACGUAUACUGUCUGAAAUCAGUCUUGUGCGUCGGUGACAAAAUGUAUACAUAUCCUACUUUAACUCUGCUGGAAAAUAUUAUUUUGUACUAUUUUAGAA